AUAUUUAUGUUAUAGUUAUUUUUACAUUACUUAUAAGUCAACACUGGUAAUGUACACGGAUAGUGACAUAGUGCGUUGGAUAGGUCUUGGUGUUCUGAAUAUGGAACACACCUCCGUUCGUCCCAGUGACGUCUGUGUGAAAAGGCAAACCACUCGAAUAUAUGACAAUGAA